AUUGAACGCUGGCGGCAGGCUUAACACAUGCAAGUCGAGCGGAGAUGAGGUGCUUGCACCUUAUCUUAGCGGCGGACGGGUGAGUAAUGCUUAGGAAUCUGCCUAUUAGUGGGGGACAACAUUCCGAAAGGAAUGCUAAUACCGCAUACGUCCUACGGGCGAAAGCAGGGGAUCUUCGGACCUUGCGCUAAUAGAUGAGCCUAAGUCGGAUUAGCUAGGUGGUGGGGUAAAGGCCUACCUAGGCGACGAUCUGUAGCGGGUCUGAGAGGAUGAUCCGCAACACUGGGACUGAGACGCGGCCCAGACUCCUACGGGGGGCAGCAGUGGGGAAUAUUGGACAAUGGGGGGAACCCUGAUCCAGCCAUGCCGCGUGUGUGAAGAAGGCCUUAUGGUUGUAAAGCACUUUAAGCGAGGAGGAGGCUACUGAGACUAAUACUCUUGGAUAGUGGACGUUACUCGCAGAAUAAGCACCGGCUAACUCUGUGCCAGCCGCCGCCGUAAUAC
rnacentral:rRNA from 1 species